rnacentral:rRNA from 1 species
GACGAACGCUGGCGGCGUGCUUAACACAUGCAAGUCGAACGGAAAGGCCCUGCUUUUGUGGGGUGCUCGAGUGGCGAACGGGUGAGUAACACGUGAGUAACCUGCCCUUGACUUUGGGAUAACUUCAGGAAACUGGGGCUAAUACCGGAUAGGAGCUCCUGCUGCCUGGUGGGGGUUGGAAAGUUUCGGCGGUUGGGGAUGGACUCGCGGCUUAUCAGCUUGUUGGUGGGGUAGUGGCUUACCAAGGCUUUGACGGGUAGCCGGCCUGAGAGGGUGACCGGCCACAUUGGUCCUGCGAUACGGCCCAGACUCCUACGUGAGGCAGCAGUGGGGAAUAUUGCACAAUGGGCGGAAGCCUGAUGCAGCAACGCCGCGUGCGUGAUGACGGCCUUCGGGUUGUAAACCGCUUUCGCCUGUGACGAAGCGUGAGUGACGGCAAUGGGUAAAGAAGCACCGGCUAACUACGUG